UCUAAAUGUCACAGAAUGUACUGAAACAGCUGACAAAGGGACUUUCUAGUCAAAGUGAAACUGGGCUACUGUAAUUUUGGCGUGGCUGGAAGAUCUGUGAUGACAGUGUGAACCACGGCUGAGCUGAGAGCCCCAGCGCAGCUGCCAGCUCGGCAAUCUCCGUGUGGGGAGAGUCUGCAGCUCUACGUGACACUGGGAGGGACACUAGCUAUGCCACUGGAUAGCAUAUGAAAAAAUGCACUGGAUUGUGUGAAUUUUUAAUCAGCUAAUUUAUCAAACAUCAAGACCUGACAGCCAAUACCCAUGCUGUUAAUAAAACCCUGCUGGUUUAAACUGAGUCACUGGCAGGACUGAGGCAGGCUUCUAUUCUCGGAGGAAAGCUGUCAGCUCUUGGAUUAAGGAAGAGCUGUUGGGGGAGGGCGGUGCUGGUGGUGAUGAGAGGAGGAUGUCCCUGGCUCUGUCCCCUGACAGUAGGAAACAGGGAGUGCCCAGUGCACCGCGUCCCAUGUGCUCCCUCAUUAACCAUGUGGUGUUAAAACUCUUCAGGGCCCUAUUGCACAGAGGAAGAUGCCGGGGCACAGAGAGUGUGAAGGGUGCCUGAGGUAUGGCCAGGACUUGGACCCAGGCAGUCUUGGCUUUACAGCCUGAGGCCCUGACCCCUGCAGGACACCACUGUCCCUCCACUCCCUGCCACUGCCCUCACAUCUGCCGGUCACAGCAGGAACAUGGACCUGGCAUCCCCAGCUCUUGUACUAACGAGUUUCACUUCCUUGCUCUGGGCCUGCUUCAUUAUUUAGAAAAUGAACAGGCCCCACUAGACAGCUCCGCACUCUCUCCCAGCUCCAAAACACUCUAAUGGGGAACGGGCUCCAAGGAUCUCAGGGGUAAAAUGGGAAAACAAAGUGCACACUAUUCUCUAAAGCCAGAAGUACCAGGAGAGAGUUAAUUCCCAAUAAGAUUGUGUUUAACUGUGGGAAGCCAACAGAAAUGGCACCUGUCAGCCUUCUAGUUUAUUAACUCAUGUCCCAUUUUACUAUGGUGCCAGUAUUUUAAAUUCUUUAUCUUAUAAAGUCAACAUUUUAAGUCUGGACAUUCAGAGUGGGGAAAAAUAGAAGCGCUGAAAACUAUAACUGAAUAUUUUAGCCAAAUUUUGGACAAGAAAACUAAGUUCGAUUCAACAAAUACUGAUCGAGUACCUGCUGUAGGCCCUGCAUUGCUCUACCUGGGGGCUAAAGGGGAGGGCUCCUGUCCUUACGGACUUAGUCUAGUGGGGGAAAAUAAUCAAAAACAAAAACACCCAAAAGUGAAAAUAAAUUCCAAAGACAUUAUAAAUACUUUCACUCGAAAACAUUAACUUCUUCAAGUACUACUUUUUUUCAAAAAGGAAAUUAAAGUCCUUUUGUACCUAAUGCAGAUACUAUCAGUGGUUUACCACAUCAUAUUAAAUACCUUUCACUAAAAACAUUUAAAUAACAAAUAAACCCAUUUUCACACAAAGAAUCAUUCACACAGGUUACUGGUUAUAUUACUUUCGCUUUAUGUAAUUAAAAUAUUUAAAAGCUGUGAAAUCAACAUGCAUCUGAAGCUUUACUGGGUUACACAUAUUGUUAGGUGCACUAUUUUGCAACAUACAAGGGUCCAACACGAAGCCACGGUCACAAGUGACACCCGAACACCCACAAGAGCCCUCUGCUCCUCCCACACAAGUUGACGAGCUCCAGUUUCAGGACGCCUGUGCCUGAGUCUCUGUGAAGGCCGCAUGUAGGUGUGUGUAUUCUCCAGGAAAAGAGUCCACUGGUUCUCACGGAUUCCCAAAGAAGUAUGUAUCUCAAAAAGCUGUAGAACCAUUUCUACUCUGGUCUGAUGAGUUGAACAAAUACGCCUUCAUUUCUCAUUUAAUAUCAAGCACUAUAUUAUCUUCAAAACACAGAUCAACCUGGAUUGAAACUGAGAUUGGGCCAGAUGAAAUUAAGUGUCACAACUGUAAAAAUGUUGGGUAUGUCAUGCUUCCUCAGGCUUUGGAGGCCCAACUUUUUUUUUUUAUUUUAUUUUUUCGUUUUUGAGACGGAGUCUCGCUACCUUCCAGGCUGGAGUGCAGUGGUGUGAUCGCGGCUCACUGCAAGCUCCGCCUCCCGGGUUCACGCCAUUCUCCUGCCUCAGCCCCCCAUGUAACUGGCACUACAGGCACCCGCCACCACGCCCGGCUAAUUUUUUGUAUUUUUAGUAGACGGGGUUUCACGUAUUCGCCAGGAUGGUCUCGAUCUCCUGACCUCGUGAUCCGCCCGCCUCGGCCUCCCAAAGUGCUGGGAUUACGGGCUUGAGCCACCACGCCCAGCCUGGAGGCCCACCUUUUUUAAGGCACCCUCGUCACAGUGGUCACCACUGACAGGGCCCUUAUCAUGUACCUGGCAUCCUGCUGAGGGCCUUGCACACAUCACUGUGCUCAGGCCCCACCGUGAGCCCAUGAGAUGAAUCCAUCUCCGCUGUAAAAAAAGGAAAGCUGGGCUUCGCAAGAUCAGUAACCUGCCCAAGGUUACAGAGCCAGUUCAUACAAACAGCAGAAUCUGAGAAUUCCUCAGACCAUCAACUUUUCUGCAAGCUAGCCCCUGCUUUUUUUUCCCUUAUUUUUGCCCAAGAAGACUUUCAAAGACUAUCCUAAGAGGAAAUCGGCUUCCUAAGUAAAAGUAACUCCAAACCCUCUCCACACUGCCAUUUGUGCUUUAAAACCCAAAUAUGUCCACAGAACAAUGCUGUUCUCUUGCAGAAAUGUCUAUGGGCUACCACCCACACGGAUACUAAAACUUUAAGGGUUGUUCCUGAAAAAGACCUCUAGGAUCCGAAACACUGCUUUUGUCUGAUCAAAUAAGGCCCUGGCAAAAGACUAGUGUCAGCUAAGAUGGGGCUAUAUUUUUUUUUUUUUUUUUUGAGACAGGGUCUCACUUUGUCACCCAGGCUACAGUGUAGUGGUGCAACCAUGGCUCACUGAAGCCUUGACCUGACCUCCUGGGCUGAAGUGAUCCUCCCACCUCAGCCUCCUGUACUUUAAUUACUAAAAAUUCUUUAGUGCGGUCCCACCAUUUGCAGUUUUGAAUUAUGUGUCUGAAUGCCACAAUGACCCACUGGCAUUUCCAAUAGGUCAUGUAGACUGGUGAGAUCUGCCAGAACUCCACACAGGGACAGCCGGAGAAAUCAGAGAUGUUCAGGAGCAAAGUAGGCGCACAGGGCUAUUUUGGUGAAGUUUCAAUCUACCACGUGGAAGGAAUAUUAGACACAUUCGCUACGGCUCCAAGAGCAUGAGUAAGACAAACACAGACAGGCCGCAGGCAGGCAGAUGUGUGAGUGGGCCCGCAGAAGAAUGUCCAGCAACCAGUGCCAUGCCACAAUGGGGUGCACGGCUCAGAGACACAGGACGCUCUGAUGGCUGAGUGAUCAGCCUCCCACCCAGCAGCCUCCAGGCAUUUCUACGUUGAUCAAAACAUUCCAUGAGGGGACUGACUACAAAAGGUCCCAGAGACUUCUCUGGAAGGAUGGAAAUAAUCUAUGCCUUGACUGCACUGGUGGUUACACAACCUGAGUAAGUUUGUCAUAAUUCACAAAACUGUACAGAUAUAAGGGGUAAAUUUUACUAUCUGUAAAUUAUUCCUCAAUAAAGAGUAACACAAACACUUCUGAGCUCUCUUCUUGGGCUUAAGUUCUGGACUUUAUUAACUGGCAUCCAACAUCACCAAACAUGAGUCAUAGUUGGCCAGUGACUUGGAGGGGUUCUGAGGACACAGGCCUUUCUGUUUUAACACCUCAGUUCAUGGGACUUUGGUGCUAACACUGGGUAAGUCCCAUGAGAUCAUCUGGUUACCCUCAGUGCAUCUCGCCAUUCUGCUACUGCACCUUCCUGUCAAGAGUUACAGACCUGACCGCCGUAUGAUGGACCUGACCGCCGUAUGAUGGACCUGACCGCCGUAUGAUGGACCUGACCGCUGUAUGAUGGACCUGACCGCCGUAUGAUGGACCUGACCGCUGUAUGAUGGAGCCCAUGCUGACCUUUAGGUAAGAGGCAGUGGCUUACUUUUUAAAGAGCAGAGACAGGUACUGACAGCAUAAGCAACUGCUUAGUUUUUCAUUCAAAUGUAUUUCAAAGCUUUUUAAAAUAAAAAGAAACAUGUAUAAAGCAUGUCUUCUGUCUCCUCGAUGUCCUCCACAAAUUUCUACCUUUAUAAUCUGGCACCAAAGGAGCUUCCGUCUACACUAGCAGUGAGAGAAAGUGCAACGUGGGGUUAAAGCAUGAGCUCUGGAAUCAGGCCACUGGCCUGUCUUUAAGAUGGGAUAAUAAGACCGCACCCGCCUCCUUGGGGAAAUGCAGUGUUAAAGGAGAGAAGACAUGUAAACCACUCAGCCCAGGCCCAGCACACAAUAAGCACACAACAAACCGAAGCUAGGAUGUUAAUAAAGAGAUCGAUAAAGUCCUUUCAAACAGCCCAAGAUGAGAACUAAGUGCUUACCCAUUACUCUGGCGCUCUCCACUUCGCUUCUGGGAACAGCAGGAAUACGUCAGUAUCUUGAACAUGUCGGUGAAGGCCGACGCAGACAGUGGGGAUCGCAUAACCAGUGACAAAGCUGACGUUCUGC
rnacentral:lncRNA from 10 species